rnacentral:tRNA from 1 species
UGGGGUAUCGCCAAGCGGUAAGGCACUGGUUUUGAUACCAGCAUUCCCUGGUUCGAAUCCAGGUACCCCAGCCA